GGCACUUUGGCGGAGUGGUUAACGCGUUGCCCUGCUAAGUUCGGGAGCGUGUGUUCGAAUCACACAGGUGUCG